rnacentral:rRNA from 1 species
CUCGCCUGCCCAGUGACAAGUUAAACGGCCGCGGUAUUUUGACCGUGCGAAGGUAGCGCAAUCACUUGUCUUUUAAAUGAAGACCUGUAUGAAUGGUAGAACGAGGGCUUAACUGUCUCCCUUUUUAAGUCAAUGAAAUUGAUCUGCCCGUGCAGAAGCGGACAUAACAAUACAAGACGAGAAGACCCUUUGGAGCUUAAGACUCCAGAUCAAUUAUGUCAAGAACUUAUCAAGUUAAACCAAAUAACACCUGAUCCUAAUCUUUUGUUGGGGCGACCGCGGGAGAAAACAAAGCUCCCAUGAGGACUGGACCCACCUCCAGAACCAAGAAAGACAUCUCUAAGUCACAGAACCUCUGACCAUAAAGAUCCGGCCACCCGCCGACCAACGAACCAAGUUACCCUAGGGAUAACAGCGCAAUCCCCUUUCAGAGUCCAUAUCGACAAGGGGGUUUACGACCUCGAUGUUGGA